rnacentral:tRNA from 1 species
UAGACUGUAGCUCAGACGUGGAAGAGCGCCUGCACUACAAGCAGGAGGCCGGAAGUUCGAACCUUCCCAGUCUAA